UUGUGCUAUGGUGCGUCAGAUUUUUAUAUACACAAAAGAGGAGGUCCAGAAGAUGGAUUCAAGUACCUUGAACCCAAAAAAUGAAGAUUGUCCUGAUAUGAAAGAGAAUGUCAAGGAAACAAAAGGCAGUCAAUCUGCAUCAUCAUCUAAUUCAAAAAACUCAUAGGCUUAUCCUGCAAUGAUCUUGAAGCACAAACAAAGUGAUUGUUUGUGCUUUAUCUAAGUGAUUGUUUGAACAGUUUUAUAGCAUGCAUCUUGACAAUUAAUAUAAUUUCGAAGAUCACUAUCAAGGAAGAAUGUUCAAAGGAAAGUAAAGGCUAGGGAGAAGAUCACAUAAUUAACUACACGGGUCUAGUGAAAAUACUGAAGAAGUAUGACAAGAGAAUAGGAGCACUUAUCAGGCAGCCCUUCAUUGAAAAGGUGCUGCAGUAGCCAUUCUUUACAACUGAUCUCCUAUACAAACUCGUGAAGGAGUGUGUGGCUAUGCUCGACCACCUCUUCCCCAGCAACAACCUGUCAAUUUCAGCAGAAUGCGACGGACAAAAUGGAGUGCCAAAGCCGGCACAAUCAGUUGGGAGGGUUCCGGAGUUGGAG